UACGGAGGGUGCAAGCGUUAUCCGGAUUCACUGGGUUUAAAGGGUGCGUAGGCGGGCAGGUAAGUCAGUGGUGAAAUCCCCGAGCUUAACUCGGGAACUGCCGUUGAUACUAUCUGUCUUGAAUACCGUGGAGGUGAGCGGAAUAUGUCAUGUAGCGGUGAAAUGCUUAGAUAUGACAUAGAACACCAAUUGCGAAGGCAGCUCGCUACACGGUCAUUGACGCUGAGGCACGAAAGCGUGGGGAUCAAACAGGAUUAGAUACCCUGGUAGUCCACGCCCUAAACGAUGAUUACUCGACAUCAGCGAUACACUGUUGGUGUCUAAGCUAACGCAUUAAGUAWUCCACCUGGGAAGUACGAUCGCAAGAUUGAAACUCAA
rnacentral:rRNA from 1 species